rnacentral:rRNA from 1 species
AGUGAACGCUGGCGGUAGGCCUAACACAUGCAAGUCGAACGGCAGCACAGUAAGAGCUUGCUCUUACGGGUGGCGAGUGGCGGACGGGUGAGGAAUACAUCGGAAUCUACUUUUUCGUGGGGGAUAACGUAGGGAAACUUACGCUAAUACCGCAUACGACUUACGGGUGAAAGCAGGGGAUCUUCGGACCUUGCGCGAUUGAAUGAGCCGAUGUCGGAUUAGUUAGUUGGCGGGGUAAAGGCCCACCAAGGCGACGAUCCGUAGCUGGUCUGAGAGGAUGACCAGCCACACUGGAACUGAGACACGGUCCAGCCCCCUACGGGAGGCAGCAGUGGGGAAUAUUGGACAAUGGGCGCAAGCCUGAUCCAGCCAUACCGCGUGGGUGAAGAAGGCUUUCGGGUUUUAAAGCCUUUUUGUUGGGAAAGACAAGCAGCAGGUUAAUACCCCGCUGUUCUGACGGUACCCAAAGAAUAAGCACCGGCUAACUUCGUG